rnacentral:snRNA from 1 species
UUAAUUAAUUAAAAUAAUUAUGUC